rnacentral:misc_RNA from 1 species
UCUCCGUAGGUGAACCUGCGGAGGGAUCAUUACCGAGUGAGGGCGCCCCGGCGCCCGACCUCCCAACCCUUUGUGUGAACCAAACUUGUUGCUUCGGGGGCGACCCUGCCGCUUCGGCGGUGCGGCGCCCCCGGAGCCCAUCAAACCCUGCGUAACUAAGUCGUCGGAGUUUAAACAAAUUAAACAAAACUUUCAACAACGGAUCUCUUGGUUCGGGCAUCGAUGAAGAACGCAGC